rnacentral:rRNA from 1 species
UUAAGUUAUUAAGGGCGCACGGUGGAUGCCUUGGCACUAGAAGCCGAUGAAGGACGUUACUAACGACGAUAUGCUUUGGGGAGCUGUAAGUAAGCUUUGAUCCAGAGAUUUCCGAAUGGGGAAACCCAGCAUGAGUUAUGUCAUGUUAUCGAUAUGUGAAUACAUAGCAUAUCAGAAGGCACACCCGGAGAACUGAAACAUCUUAGUACCCGGAGGAAGAGAAAGAAAAUUCGAUUCCCUUAGUAGCGGCGAGCGAAACGGGAAGAGCCCAAACCAAAAAGCUUGCUUGUUGGGGUUGUAGGACACUCUAUACGGAGUUACAAAGGACGACAUUAGACGAAUCAUCUGGAAAGAUGAAUCAAAGAAGGUAAUAAUCCUGUAGUCGAAAAUGUUGUCUCUCUUGAGUGGAUCCUGAGUACGACGGAGCACGUGAAAUUCCGUCGGAAUCUGGGAGGACCAUCUCCUAAGGCUAAAUACUCUCUAGUGACCGAUAGUGAACCAGUACCGUGAGGGAAAGGUGAAAAGCACCCCGGAAGGGGAGUGAAAUAGAACCUGAAACCGUGUGCUUACAAGUAGUCAGAGCCCGUUAAUGGGUGAUGGCGUGCCUUUUGUAGAAUGAACCGGCGAGUUACGAUUUGAUGCAAGGUUAAGCAGUAAAUGUGGAGCCGUAGCGAAAGCGAGUCUGAAUAGGGCGUUUAGUAUUUGGUCGUAGACCCGAAACCAGGUGAUCUACCCUUGGUCAGGUUGAAGUUCAGGUAACACUGAAUGAAGGACCGAACCGACUUACGUUGAAAAGUGAGCGGAUGAACUGAGGGUAGCGGAGAAAUUCCAAUCGAACCUGGAGAUAGCUGGUUCUCUCCGAAAUAGCUUUAGGGCUAGCCUCAAGUGAUGAUUAUUGGAGGUAGAGCACUGUUUGGACGAGGGGCCCCUCUCGGGUUACCGAAUUCAGACAAACUCCGAAUGCCAAUUAAUUUAACUUGGGAGUCAGAACAUGGGUGAUAAGGUCCGUGUUCGAAAGGGAAACAGCCCAGACCACCAGCUAAGGUCCCAAAAUAUAUGUUAAGUGGAAAAGGAUGUGGCGUUGCCCAGACAACUAGGAUGUUGGCUUAGAAGCAGCCAUCAUUUAAAGAGUGCGUAAUAGCUCACUAGUCGAGUGACACUGCGCCGAAAAUGUACCGGGGCUAAACAUAUUACCGAAGCUGUGGAUUGUCCUUUGGACAAUGGUAGGAGAGCGUUCUAAGGGCGUUGAAGCAUGAUCGUAAGGACAUGUGGAGCGCUUAGAAGUGAGAAUGCCGGUGUGAGUAGCGAAAGACGGGUGAGAAUCCCGUCCACCGAUUGACUAAGGUUUCCAGAGGAAGGCUCGUCCGCUCUGGGUUAGUCGGGUCCUAAGCUGAGGCCGACAGGCGUAGGCGAUGGAUAACAGGUUGAUAUUCCUGUACCACCUAUAAUCGUUUUAAUCGAUGGGGGGACGCAGUAGGAUAGGCGAAGCGUGCGAUUGGAUUGCACGUCUAAGCAGUAAGGCUGAGUAUUAGGCAAAUCCGGUACUCGUUAAGGCUGAGCUGUGAUGGGGAGAAGACAUUGAGUCUUCGAGUCGUUGAUUUCACACUGCCGAGAAAAGCCUCUAGAUAGAAAAUAGGUGCCCGUACCGCAAACCGACACAGGUAGUCAAGAUGAGAAUUCUAAGGUGAGCGAGCGAACUCUCGUUAAGGAACUCGGCAAAAUGACCCCGUAACUUCGGGAGAAGGGGUGCUCUUUAGGGUUAACGCCCAGAAGAGCCGCAGUGAAUAGGCCCAAGCGACUGUUUAUCAAAAACACAGGUCUCUGCUAAACCGUAAGGUGAUGUAUAGGGGCUGACGCCUGCCCGGUGCUGGAAGGUUAAGAGGAGUGGUUAGCUUCUGCGAAGCUACGAAUCGAAGCCCCAGUAAACGGCGGCCGUAACUAUAACGGUCCUAAGGUAGCGAAAUUCCUUGUCGGGUAAGUUCCGACCCGCACGAAAGGCGUAACGAUUUGGGCACUGUCUCAACGAGAGACUCGGUGAAAUCAUAGUACCUGUGAAGAUGCAGGUUACCCGCGACAGGACGGAAAGACCCCGU